GGACCUUCGGGCCUCUUGCCAUCAGAUGUGCCCAGAUGGGAUUAGCUAGUUGGUGAGGUAACGGCUCACCAAGGCGACGAUCCCUAGCUGGUCUGAGAGGAUGACCAGCCACACUGGAACUGAGACACGGUCCAGACUCCUACGGGAGGCAGCAGUGGGGAAUAUUGCACAAUGGGCGCAAGCCUGAUGCAGCCAUGCCGCGUGUAUGAAGAAGGCCUUCGGGUUGUAAAGUACUUUCAGCGGGGAGGAAGGUGUUGUGGUUAAUAACCGCAGCAAUUGACGUUACCCGCAGAAGAAGCACCGGCUAACUCCGUGCCAGCAGCCGCGGUAAUACGGAGGGUGCAAGCGUUAAUCGGAAUUACUGGGCGUAAAGCGCACGCAGGCGGUCUGUCAAGUCGGAUGUGAAAUCCCCGGGCUCAACCUGGGAACUGCAUUCGAAACUGGCAGGCUUGAGUCUUGUAGAGGGGGGUAGAAUUCCAGGUGUAGCGGUGAAAUGCGUAGAGAUCUGGAGGAAUACCGGUGGCGAAGGCGGCCCCCUGGACAAAGACUGACGCUCAGGUGCGAAAGCGUGGGGAGCAAACAGGAUUAGAUACCCUGGUAGUCCACGCCGUAAACGAUGUCUACUUGGAGGUUGUGCCCUUGAGGCGUGGCUUCCGGAGCUAACGCGUUAAGUAGACCGCCUGGGGAGUACGGCCGCAAGGUUAAAACUCAAAUGAAUUGACGGGGGCCCGCACAAGCGGUGGAGCAUGUGGUUUAAUUCGAUGCAACGCGAAGAACCUUACCUGGUCUUGACAUCCACAGAACUUUCCAGAGAUGGAUUGGUGCCUUCGGGAACUGUGAGACAGGUGCUGCAUGGCUGUCGUCAGCUCGUGUUGUGAAAUGUUGGGUUAAGUCCCGCAACGAGCGCAACCCUUAUCCUUUGUUGCCAGCGGUCCGGCCGGGAACUCAAAGGAGACUGCCAGUGAUAAACUGGAGGAAGGUGGGGAUGACGUCAAGUCAUCAUGGCCCUUACGACCAGGGCUACACACGUGCUACAAUGGCGCAUACAAAGAGAAGCGACCUCGCGAGAGCAAGCGGACCUCAUAAAGUGCGUCGUAGUCCGGAUUGGAGUCUGCAACUCGACUCCAUGAAGUCGGAAUCGCUAGUAAUCGUGGAUCAGAAUGCCACGGUGAAUACGUUCCCGGGCCUUGUACACACCGCCCGUCACACCAUGGGAGUGGGUUGCAAAAGAAGUAGGUAGCUUAACCUUCGGGAGGGCGCUUACCACUUUGUGAUUCAUGACUGGGGUGAAGUCGUAACAAGGUAACCGUAGGGGAACCUGCGGUUGGAUCACCUCCUUACCUUAAAGAAGC
rnacentral:rRNA from 1 species